rnacentral:lncRNA from 1 species
UGCUUGUUAGAUGGCUCUGCGAGUCCCAGCCCGUCUAAGGAAGAUGGGACAAGACGGACGGUGCGUUCAUCUGGGGCCCUAAGAAGAUGACCCAGGGGUGCUAGACGCAGCGGCGAGGUUUGGAAAUCUGCAGAGACCAGAAUCGCCGGCCGCAGUGUGCCUUCGGCAUACGGCAAAGACACCCAGUGACCCUUCACCUCCCCCAGCCUCCAGCAAGAGGCCAGCAGCCAAGCUGAGCCUCCAACCCCAGGAGCCGAGCAUGCUGCCCCCGCGUGCAGCGCCCGCGUGCACCGGGCCGGGAGAGGGGGCGACAGGGCGGAGGCGGUGGCCCCCGGAAGGUGUCUGGGACCGGACCGGCUGCACGUGAGCCCAGCGCGAGGUCAUGUGCACCGGCUCAGCCCGGUUCGGCGCCCGGACGUGCUGCGUAUCAACAAAAUGAAACUCGGGGAGACAGGAGGGCAGAUAGCUCCAGGUUCUCGGAGCCCCCGCCCGGGCCGCUCGACCUCCCCACCGUACCCAUCUCCCGCCGCAGCCCCUACGCCCGGCCGGAGCCCGCGGGGAAGUUGCAGCCCUGGCGCGCCCCCGCCCGCCCGCGCCCCCUCGCCGGCCCGGGGGCGCUUUGCCGCAGUCAUUAAUAAAGAAGGUCGCCAAGCUC